rnacentral:rRNA from 1 species
AAGCGUGCGUAGGCGGCUUUUUAAGUCGGAUGUGAAAUCCCCGAGCUUAACUUGGGAAUUGCAUUCGAUACUGGGAAGCUAGAGUAUGGGAGAGGGAUGGUAGAAUUCCAGGUGUAGCGGUGAAAUGCGUAGAGAUCUGGAGGAAUACCGAUGGCGAAGGCAGCCAUCUGGCCUAAUACUGACGCUGAGGUACGAAAGCAUGGGGAGCAAACAGGAUUAGAUACCCUGGU